rnacentral:rRNA from 1 species
CACGUAGGGUGCGAGCGUUGUCCGGAAUUAUUGGGCGUAAAGAGCUCGUAGGCGGUGCGUCGCGUCGGCCGUGAAAACCUGCAGCUUAACUGUGGGCGUGCGGUCGAUACGGGCAUCACUGGAGUUCGGCAGGGGAGACUGGAAUUCCUGGUGUAGCGGUGAAAUGCGCAGAUAUUGGGAAGAACACCCGUGGCGAAGGCGGCUCUCUGGGACGGUACUGACGCUGAGACGCGAAAGCGUGGGGAGCGAACAGG